rnacentral:rRNA from 1 species
CCUACGGGAGGCUGCAGUGAGGAAUAUUGGUCAAUGGGCGCGAGCCUGAACCAGCCAAGUAGCGUGAAGGAUGACUGCCCUACGGGUUGUAAACUUCUUUUAUAAAGGAAUAAAGUGAGGCACGUGUGCCUUUUUGUAUGUACUUUAUGAAUAAGAAUCGGGUACAUCCGUGCCAUCAGCCGCGGUAAUACGGAGGAUCCGAGCGUUAUCCGGAUUUAUUGGGUUUAAAGGUAGCGUAGAUGGGUUGUUAAGUCAGUUGUGAAAGUUUGCGGCUCAACCGUAAAAUUGCAAUUGAUACUGGCAGUCUUGAGUACAGUUGAGGUAGGCGGAAUGCGUGGUGUAGCGGUGAAAUGCUUAGAUAUCACGAAGAACUCCGAUUGCGAAGGCAGCUUACUAAACUGCCACUGACAUUGAGGCUCGAAAGUGUGGGUAUCAAACAGGAUUAGAUACCCGAGUAGUC